rnacentral:rRNA from 1 species
AUUGAACGCUGGCGGCAUGCCUUACACAUGCAAGUCGAACGGUAACAGGUCUUCGGAUGCUGACGAGUGGCGAACGGGUGAGUAAUACAUCGGAACGUGCCUAGUAGUGGGGGAUAACUACUCGAAAGAGUGGCUAAUACCGCAUGAGAUCUACGGAUGAAAGCAGGGGAUCGCAAGACCUUGUGCUACUAGAGCGGCCGAUGGCAGAUUAGGUAGUUGGUGGGAUAAAAGCUUACCAAGCCGACGAUCUGUAGCUGGUCUGAGAGGACGAUCAGCCACACUGGGACUGAGACACGGCCCAGACUCCUACGGGAGGCAGCAGUGGGAAUUUUGGACAAUGGGCGAAAGCCUGAUCCAGCAAUGCCGCGUGCAGGAUGAAGGCCUUCGGGUUGUAAACUGCUUUUGUACGGAACGAAAAGCCCUGGGUUAAUACCCUGGGGUCAUGACGGUACUGUAAGAAUAAGCACCGGCUAACUACGUGCCAGCCGCCGCAGUAA